rnacentral:lncRNA from 1 species
CUCAUAGGUGGGAGAUAAAAUAUACAUACUUACAAGACAUUUAUUGCAUAGUCAAACCAUGGAUCCAAAGUAACAAGUCAAUAAGUUUAAUCAAGAUGUGCAUGUGUGGUGAAUGAAUGGUGUAUGGUGAUGAUGGUGAUAACAAUGGUGAAAACAAUGGAGGUGGAAGUCUAAUUCUACUUUUGCUCUUUGAGGGGAUACAUACCUUCCUUGCUUUUGAAACUUUAUGAGGAGAAUGAAAUGCUCUUCUUUUUCUUGUCUCUCAGGUGGGUAUCUUGUACCCCUAAUUUCUACUGUCGGACACUUGUCCAUUUUUACCUCUGGUCUCACUUUUUCUUUUCUUUCGAGGUUCCGAGCACUUGCUCCUUUUUAUUUCCUCGUUUCUCUCUCUUUUUUUUUCAGAGCAUUCAUCUCUUGAGAUAAUAUCGCAAGUGGUAGUAACAAAAUAACUUGAGCAUUUAUUUCACAAGGGGAAAAUAGAAAUAUUUUUGGUUAUUCUCUCCCAGAUUAGGAGUAGAAUAUUUUUGGGUGAUUCUGGAGAUGGAAUGGGUGGAUAUAUGUGGAUGGUACUUCCGGAGUAGAAGUAGCAUAUAUGAGUGAACGUGUAAGUGAAAUCUUGAUUUAACCACAUGACAAGCUCCUAAGGGUCUACACAGCUUGACCACACUCAAUGCA